rnacentral:rRNA from 1 species
UAGGGAAUCUUCCGCAAUGGGCGAAAGCCUGACGGAGCAACGCCGCGUGAGUGAUGAAGGUCUUCGGAUCGUAAAACUCUGUUAUUAGGGAAGAACAAAUGUGUAAGUAACUAUGCACGUCUUGACGGUACCUAAUCAGAAAGCCACGGCUAACUACGUGCCAGCAGCCGCGGUAAUACGUAGGUGGCAAGCGUUAUCCGGAAUUAUUGGGCGUAAAGCGCGCGUAGGCGGUUUUUUAAGUCUGAUGUGAAAGCCCACGGCUCAACCGUGGAGGGUCAUUGGAAACUGGAAGACUUGAGUGCAGAAGAGGAAAGUGGAAUUCCAUGUGUAGCGGUGAAAUGCGCAGAGAUAUGGAGGAACACCAGUGGCGAAGGCGGCUUUCUGGUCUGUAACUGACGCUGAUGUGCGAAAGCGUGGGGAUCAAACAGG